UACGUAGGGUGCAAGCGUUGUCCGGAAUUACUGGGCGUAAAGCGCGUGUAGGCGGUGGGACAAGUCUGUUGUGAAAGCGCCUGGCUUAACCGGGCGAGGUCGACGGAAACUGUCUGACUGGAGGACGGUAGAGGGGGGUGGAAUUCCCGGUGUAGUGGUGAAAUGCGUAGAGAUCGGGAGGAACCCCAGUGGCGAAGGCGGCCCCCUGGGCCGGGCCUGACGCUGAGACGCGAAGGCGUGGGGAGCGAACGGG
rnacentral:rRNA from 1 species